rnacentral:rRNA from 1 species
GACGAACGCUGGCGGCGUGCUUAACACAUGCAAGUCGAGCGGAGCGGCGAACGGGUGAGUAACGCGUGAGUAACUGCCCCCCUCUCUGGGAUAACCGUUGGAAACGGCUGCUAAUACCGGAUAGUGGGGGAUGACUCGCGUCCGAUCAGUUUGUUGGUGGGGUAGUGGCCUACCAAGGCGACGACGGUUAGCCGGCCUGAAAGGGCGACCGGCCACAUUGGGCUGGGAUACAGGCCAAACACCGGCGGGAGGCAGCAGUGGGGAAGAGUGCGCAAUGGGGGAAACCCUGAUGCAGCAACGCCGCGUGCGGGAUGACGGCAUUCGGGGUGUAAGCCGCUUUCAGCCAUGACGCGGUAGUGGCAGAAGAAGCACCGGCUAACUACGGGCCAGCAGCCGCGGUAAUUC